rnacentral:rRNA from 1 species
CUUCCUACGGGGGGCAGCAGUAGGGAAUCUUCCACAAUGGACGAAAGUCUGAUGGAGCAACGCCGCGUGAGUGAAGAAGGGUUUCGGCUCGUAAAGCUCUGUUGGUAGUGAAGAAAGAUAGAGGUAGUAACUGGCCUUUAUUUGACGGUAAUUACUUAGAAAGUCACGGCUAACUACGUGCCAGCAGCCGCGGUAAUACGUAGGUGGCAAGCGUUGUCCGGAUUUAUUGGGCGUAAAACGAGUUCAGGCGAUUCAAUAAGUCU